AACGAACGCUGGCGGCGUGUUUAAGACAUGCAAGUCGCACGGGAUAAGAUAUGUAGCAAUACUUGUCUUAUUUAGUGGCGCACGGGUGAGUAACACGUGAAUUACAUGCCCUAUAGAGGGGAAUAGCCCAGGGAAACUUGGAUUAAUACCCCAUGGUAUCGCAAGAUUAAAGGUGGCCGCAAGGCUGUCGCUAUAGGAUUGGUUCGCGCCCUAUCAGCUUGUUGGUGAGGUAACGGCUCACCAAGGCAAUGACGGGUACCUGGUCUGAGAGGAAGAUCAGGCACACUGGAACUGAGACACGGUCCAGACACCUACGGGUGGCAGCAGUCGAGAAUAAUUCACAAUGGGGGCAACCCUGAUGGUGCAACGCCGCGUGGAGGAUGAAGGUCUUCGGAUUGUAAACUCCUGUCAUCCGGGAGCAAGACCUGACGGUUAACAGCCGGCAGGGUUGAUAGUACCGGAAGAGGAAGGGACGGCUAACUUCGUGCCAGCCGCCGCGGUAAGAC
rnacentral:rRNA from 1 species